rnacentral:rRNA from 1 species
AGUGAACGCUGGCGGUAGGCCUAACACAUGCAAGUCGAACGGCAGCACAGUAAGAGCUUGCUCUUACGGGUGGCGAGUGGCGGACGGGUGAGGAAUACAUCAGAAUCUACUUUUUCGUGGGGGAUAACGUAGGGAAACUUACGCUAAUACCGCAUACGACCUACGGGUGAAUGCAGGGGAUCUUCGGACCUUGCGCGAUUGAAUGAGCCGAUGUCGGAUUAGCUAGUUGGCGGGGUAAAGGCCCACCAAGGCGACGAUCCGUAGCUGGUCUGAGAGGAUGAUCAGCCACACUGGAACUGAGACACGGUCCAGACUCCUACGGGAGGCAGCAGUGGGGAAUAUUGGACAAUGGGCGCAAGCCUGAUCCAGCCAUACCGCGUGGGUGAAGAAGGCCUUCGGGUUGUAAAGCCCUUUUGUUGGGAAAGAAAAGCAGCAGGUUAAUACCCCGCUGUUCUGACGGUACCCAAAGAAUAAGCACCGGCUAACUUCGUG